rnacentral:lncRNA from 1 species
CGCUAUAUAUACUGAUGAUAAAGUUGACUAAAUUAAUUUUCUUAACAAAAUUUUAAUUCUAUAUUUUCACUGAAGGAGAAAAUAAAGUAAAAUGGGGAAAUAAAUAGAUAUACUGUAAAUAUAAAAUAUUUCUGAUUAAUAUAUUUCAUUACCAUAUUAAGAGAUAAUUCUAGUUUAAAAUAAGAAUAUCCACCACAUAUAGUUUACUCUUGAAGGUAGAUAAUUUUAUUAGGUCAACAUUCAACUAUUUUCCAUUUGUCAAUUGAAAAACUAUUCAUCAGUGGUUAAAUUUUUUAAAUUUUUCAUUUUGUAUUGUGAGAUAUAUUUGUUACUCAUGACAUGCAUUCUUAUAAUAUAACAUGAAAAUGUUAGAA